UUCUCCUGCCUCAGCCUCCCGAGUAGCCGGGACUACAGGUAGAGACACUUUUGACUUGAUCUCUGCAGUCCUCAACAUGGAAAUUUCUUUUAGAAUGUAAUAAAUGCUUAAAGAAGAAUUAUACUGUGAGUAGAACAGCAUGCAGCCUGGCACUUAGCAAGUGAUCGAGAAAUAAUUCAUGAGUGAAUGAAUGAACAGAUGACAGAUGUAACCAAAAAUCAAAACUAAAAUCACUUCUGAAGUCGAGGAUGCACUUCUCAAUGGUGUGAACUUUAAAAGGUCAAAAAGUAAAUAUGUCCUUAUUUGGAAAAUAAGACAUGUUUCUUGUGAGGAAUAUUGGCCGAUCCAGAAAAAAAUAUAAAGAAGAAAAGAAAACAGCCAGAAAUCUCAGCAACUGGUGUCACUUUAUAAUAAGUAGCGUGUACUCGCAGAGAUGAAUUCUGAGGAACUGAGGUCUCCUGCCAACAGCCAGCAUCAACUUGCCAGUCUUGUGAGUGAAUCAUCCUGGAAAUGGAUUCUUCAGCCACAAUCAAGCCUUCAGAUGACGGUAGCCCUGGCUGAGAGCUUGACUGCAACUGUCCGUAAUUUAGUUGUGAGGCCACAUCUGACUUCAAGGGAGCCUUGGAAGGAGUCUUUAUGUGCCCAGUGGAGAACCAGAGCCUUAUCCCAAGGAAGAAGGGA
rnacentral:lncRNA from 1 species